AGGAAGUCGAAAAUAGUAGUCAUUGUUAAUACUGAAACACAGUAAUAAUAUAGUUAAGGACUUUUUAUAACAGUGGCGUGUUGAAAUAAUCGCUCAGUUAGAUACAAUUUGAUAUUGUAUAAUUAUUAAUUAUUCAAUACAAAAACAAUAUAUCUAACAAAUGAACAAGUGAUAGUAUAAACUAAGGACUAGACAGCUCAAAAUAAUAUUAACACAUUACGAUUUUAAGGUGGAUCGUGUGUAGAAAUGUAUGUCUAAUUAUGAUCAUUGCUCCUUGUAAAAAAAAAAAAACUCAACAGGCCACUGUAUAGUAAUACUGUUAAAACAAUUUAUGAAAAUAAUAAAUAUUCAUUAAAAUGUAUAGUUAAUACAUAUACAUGACAACUAUUAUUGGGCAGUGCGGUGUUAAGAAGGGGGUAAAAGGGGCAGUUAUCAAAAUUUUGAAAGUUUUUUUCUGUGUUUUUCUAUAUUUUAUGAAAUUAUGAUAUGACAGUAUU